CAUCUGAAGCCUUUGAAUUGCCCACCUUCCCUUUAGGCAUCGAAACUUAACCGACGGUGCCACUGGUACUCCUAUGGGCAGACCAUGCCCAAAACCGCAAACUCAGUGCCGGCAAGUCGGUGCUGACUUUUAGCGACCCCUGUAGGACAGGGUAGAGCGGCUCCUUUGGGUCUCCGAGACUGUUAACUCUUUGCGGGAGUAGGAAGCCCAGCCUUUCUCCUGUGGAGCGGCUGGUGGUUUCAAAUGGCUGACCUUUCGGAUCACAAUCUCGUUGCCACCUGGGGCUCCUACACCGGCAGACCGAUAUGAAGGAGGAAAAGUGACAAAGCAAAGGAGCCUCCUCACAUUCAAGUUACUAAUUGAAUAAAGCUUGAUAUAAAUUUGU